UGAAUUAGUUAGCCCCAUAUGGUUCCUAUUAAGUAUCUUAGAGCAUCUCCAACGGGAGAAAAAUGGAGCUCUCAUGACAGUCUCUCUAAAUUAUUGUGGAAAAAAAUAAAUCAUAAAGGUUUAAUACUGAGAGAAUCGUUUCUCUUAAGAGAGAUUUUGGAGCUGAAGAGAGACGCAUACGUGUCGUUGUUUUUCAGUAUUUCUUUUUUUUUUCCGUUUUUUUUCUCUACUAUCAUCUUUUCACUGGGACUUUGAGGAUCAUUGGACUUACCUGAAACGAGCUGGCCGACGUUGAUUUCGGUAGGCUUAUCGGCUCUGAGAUUCAUGGAUUCCAUACUUUGCAAGAGAGAGCUUCAGGGGAUAAUCCAUUUGGGUGGGUAUUUUUCUGGCUGUACCACUUGCAGUUUCUCAAAAGUGAGUGAAGGAACUCAUUUUGGUUGAUUAUACUCUGAGUGAAGGAACUCAUUUUCGUUGGUUCUGCUCUUCUAAGUGAAGAGGGCUUACAAGCUUGGAAAGCAAGUUUCCAACAGAGUAAUAUCAUGUCUGACCGGAACCAUACAACGGAACAUUCCACAUAUCGUUUUACAUUUCUAUUGACCUUGACCUUUAUGUUUUAAUUUGUCAAGAAGUCUACUGCAUUUCUAUUCUCUCCUAUCUCAUUCCUCUUUAUUUACUUGCUUUCACAUGGUAAGGAAUUGUGAAUAUAUGGUCUCAGCCUCUCAUGUUAGACAUUUCUUCUAUGAUUCUCAUUUUUUCUAUUGUGAAUAAUUUUUUU
rnacentral:lncRNA from 1 species